GCUUCUCCCAAUAUUUUGAUUCCCGCCCACACUUCAACACACCAAAUUAACUCCUCUCUGACCCUAAUUUGCUCACUCCUCUCAAACCCAAUAUUUCGUUUGCUCUCACACUUCCCUCUCUAUCAAUUGAUAAUCGCAAAAUCUAGCUCUGGUGGACAUCGAUCUUCACAGUGUUUAUGGAAAACUGAACCAGAAUUUGUAGUGAUUGCGACUGGAACAAGGAGGUUUACCGUCGUCACUGUGCAAUUGACCUCUCUUUCACUCGAUAUCAUUUGGGCGUUUCACGAUUACAAUCGGUAACAUCACAUCUCAUCUUUUAUCAAGGAUCAUAUGCGGCGUGCUGGAGCUUUUUGUUUCUUCCAAGUUUUUAGCGAGGGAAGUGGUACCAUGUUUUUCCGGCCAUGGGGUUUGAUGGGUUAGAUGAAGAAGAUAGAGUGCGAUGGGGUAUUUAGAUUUCAAUCGGGGUCCUCCAUUGGUGGUUUUGAAUAUUUGAAAAGUUAUUUAUAAAUUAUUUUUAUGGUACCUGUUUUAUUUUAUUUAGAUUAAAUUAUUAAAAUUUUAAUAUUUCAAUUGAUAUUUGUGUUUCCUUCAUGUAGUAAAAAAAAUGAUAAAAGACAAGACACUACUCUUCUCUCUGUCCAAUGCACAAGUAGGAGGAAGUCACACUUGUAGAGCUUGAUGGAAACAGAGAUUACCACAUGGCCGUUGAACUUGGAGGUAGUGGUGGAAUGUUGAGAAAAACUAGUUGCUGGAAAUGCGCUAAAGGAUUGAAGAUGGUCAUUAUAGAAAAAAAAGUCGAGCUUGAAACUAUGCGAAAAGAGUUUGCCAGCCAGCGACAACUUAGAAGCUAUGAUGCGGAAGGAUAUGAAACAAGUAGUUGGAGAUCGAGAUGAGUAGAAUGUUUUCACUUUUUUAUUAUUGUAAUUGACUGUAGAGUUAUUUAAUU